ACCUUUUAUCUAAUAAAUGCAGCCCUUCCAUAAGUCAGGGUUUGUUGCAUGUAUUAGCUUUAGAAUUACUACGGUUAUCCAAGUAGUAGAUACCAUCAAACAAACUAUAACUAAUUUAAUGAGCCAUUCGCAGUUUCACAGUCUGAAUUUGUUUAUACUUACACAUGUAUGGCUUAAUAUUUGAGAAGAGUAUAUGACUCCUGGAAGGAUCAACCAGGUAUCACUCCUCAUUGAUGCUGGCAUCGCAAGAGCCUGGACAACCUAAAAAGGUGCAAACGGGUUCAAGGAGAGAAAGACCGUCAUUUUCAAGGAGCAUCGUAUAGGGAAGAUACUAGCCGCUAAAGACCCCAUGCCCAAUGUGUCUACCGCAUCUGAGAAUCCCGACCGCUACUUAUGGACCACAACAUUGCACGACGAAGCGAGGUAGGCAUAGUACACUGGGCGGCCUUUUGGUUCCCCCUGCGCAUGGAAUGCAAAGGGCGAAAGGCGAUCAAUAAAACUUGAUAAUGCCUGGGAUUAGGUAUGCUGCAUAGGAAACUGACUUUGAGCAAGCCUAAAUUGUUCUUGCCCUAAGACUGAGAUAGCAGGCGGGUCAGGACAUCGCUUCUCUAGUAGGAAUCCAACCUAACCACACAUGUCGAACACAACUUACGCAUUGUGUGUUUGAAUGCUCCAUCGAUGUACGCCCAAAACCAACCCCAACGCGUAGCCAUAGAUGUCGUGCACUGUUGCCCAUGCAAAUUUUGCAAUGAUAAAGCAAUUCACACUUUACAUGAUAGCCCACUCUUAUGGGAACAAAGGAUAUGAAUGCACGGCAAGGUUACUGCACAAGCGCCGCCCACAUCGGCCGCUAACGCUCUAUGCGAAUUCUGCUCAGCCCAUGUGGGCAGCGCCUGGAGCUUGCCCCGAGAGAAGCAUUUAGAACUCGCUGAAAGUACAAAAGCAUUGCCUUAUCCAGAAUCAAACGCCAACAUCCUUGUCGUGGACAAUGCCACCGAUAGCAGACACGAGCACACAAUGAAGCACGGUCGACGUUGUUUCGUGGGCACUAGUGGCUCGUACGAUCAUGCCAUGCAUGCUGCCAUGUGCCCAUACUGCACGCCGACAUGCCAAGUGAGCGCAUACACCAACUAGCGACAGUCGCCUUGAAGUGCCUUUAACACCGCUACCUAUCUUAUAUAUUCUUAAAAAAAAUAAGUGAUAGGAGUAGACAUGAUUUUUCCAUAGAAUCAAACUAAAGAUGUAUGGACUAGAAGUGCACUUUUUGACAUAAGACUGAGCCAACGCACUCACUAAAGAGUCACGUAAUUUGUAAGUGAUAACUUUCAUUAAGAAAAUAUUUUUUAAAAUAUUUUAUUUAUGAAAAUUCAAAAAAUAAAUGGAAAAGGUUCAAAAAUACCCCUGAACUUUCUAAAAUAGCUCAAAAAUACCCCUUGUCAGAUUUUUGGCUCAAAAAUUCCCCUCCGUUAAAUAUUUGGCUCCAAAAUACCCCUCCCCCUAACGGAAUUCAUAAAAGGAUUAAAAAUACCUUGAACUAUCUGAAAUGGCUCAAAAAUACCCCUCUGUUAAAUAUUUGGCUCAAAAAUACCCCUUCCUUUAACGAAAUUCCACCAAGUAUGCCACCUAGAUAAAAAAAAAAUACCACGUGACUAUGCCACAUUACCGUCCAUAUGUAAAAUAUUAGUAUUUUAUAAUUAUAUGACAUUCUUUUAUUCUUUAUUCUUUAUUUUUAUUUUUAUUUUUUUGCAAAGCAGUGAAACGGAAAAACAAAAAAAUCAAUCUUUUGUUAAUUAUUUCAUUAGUGUUUUACAAGUUCUAGAUUUCACCUUUUCAUUAGUUUUUUAAAAGUUCUAAAUUUUAUCUUUUUAUUGUUAUUUGGGAUAAGGGACGGCUUGAUCUUGAUCUUAUGUUGACUCAGAGGAGGAGCUAGAAUUUCAACUUUUAAACUAGCAAAUGUUGAUGUACUAAUAACUGAGUUGAAUUUACUACAUGCAAAUUCUUUUUAAAAAUAAAUGAAUUCCUUUUAACACUUGUUUAAUCAUUCGAAGUGAAUUUAUUUUCUAAAUUUAGUUUUGAUGAAUAAUCUUAUUAUUUUUAGAACAAGUAUGAAAAGAAGUAAAAUGAUACUUAAUAUUGAUAAAUUAUUAUUUAAUUAUGUCAUUCAUUAAAUUUUUGAAGAUGUGUGCCACAUUCAAAGAUUCAUUAAAUUUUUAGCCAAAUAUUUAACAAAGGAGUAUUUUUGAGCUAUUUCAGAUAGUUCAGGGAUAUUUUUGAUCCUUUUUCGGAUUUCGUUAGAGGGAAGGGUAUUUUUGAGCCAAAUAUUUAACGGAGGGGUAUUUUUGAGCAAAAAAUCUAAUGAGAGGCAUUUUUGUGCUAUUUCAGAUAGUUCAGGGGUAUUUUUGAGCCUUUUUUGAAAAAUAAAUAAAAAUAAAUAAAAAAAUAUGAAAAUAAAAUUUAAAUAUAAAAGCAUUAAGAAAAUAUUUUCAACGUAUGAAGUAACCUUAAACCAAUAAUUGAGUGCAUAUUUGUAUGUAUAACUUAGCGAUAUAAAAUAUCAAAAUUUAAGGAUUUUAAAUAAAAAAAUUUAAACAAAUAUAAAAAUAACGUGGGUGCAUUAGUAAAAUCGCCCAGAAUGCAACAGAUAAAUAACAACCCCAAGACAUGCAUAUUAGAAUGAAGUAACCUUAAACCAAUAAUUGAGUGCAUAUGUAUACGCAUAAAGUAACGAUAUAAAAUAUCAAAAUUUAAGGAUAUUCAAUAAAAGAAUUAAAAAAAAAUAUAAAAAUAAUGUGGGGCACAUUAGGAAAACCGCCUAGAUUGAAAUAGAUAAGUAGAAACCCCAAAAGAUGCAUAUUAGAAUGACCUUAAGCCUAUAAUUGAGUGUAUUUUUUAUAUUAAAAUUUAAAUAUUUAAGAAUCAAAUAAAAAAUUGAAAAAAAGAUUUGGGGACAUUACGAAAACUGCCCCAACAUAUGAGGUAAUAUUACAAUAUCAUUUAAAAACACUUAAUGUUGUGGGUUCAUAAAAAACAGAGGAAACUACCGUUAUCCUAGUGUACUCAGUUCUAUAAAUUAACAAGUCAAAUUCUGAUAUGAGUCAUAGAGCAUGUAUUUAAUGAAAGAACUAUGCAAUGGUAAGGAUGAUGAUGGAUGAACGUUAUGAAUAUAUUCGGAUAAUAAAACCUUGGUUUACUCUUUUUUGAUUUUUGCACAGUGCCUUCACCGUGCCCAUGGUGUCAGGGUGCCUUGAUGCACUCGCGGCGGGUGCACGGGUGUGCGGGUACCAAGCCCACAGUUCCUACCUUAGGAUGCAUGGGUGCCACAGUUCGCGGGGACUUGGUUCCAUGGUAUGGGGUGAUAUAGUGCCUUGGUACCAUGGUGCGCGGUGCCUUGGUUCCAUAGUGCGUAGUGCAAUGGUGCGUAGUGCCUUGGUUCCAUGGUGUAUGGUGCCAUGGUGCCAAGGUCCGCGGUGGCUAGUGCCAUGGUGUGCGGUGCCAUGGUGCGCGAUGUCAUGGUGCCAUGGUGCAUUGGUACCUUGGAGCCAUGGUACCUUGGUUCCAUAAAGCCAGAGUGCACGGUGUCAUGGUGCCUUGGUCCAACCUACUCGACAAAGACACCACCAUGGUAGGCCGCUAUAGGUCCUUCGGCAUUUUUCAUCAUGGCACAUGAUGAUACUUGUUUUUCAUGCUGCUGAUUUUGUCAUACGUUGGAGACCGGGUCAUUGGACAUGUCUCUAGGAUUGCACUUGACGGUCACCUAAACCUCUAAUUACAACGUGCCUCCAUGCAUCGACGUUGGCCACAUGAUAUAUCUCUGGGCUCUUUAGCCACACUCCACAUCGUGGAAAACCUCUAAUUGUAAAGUCAUAGUUUUCCACAAAAGGCCACUUGAUAUCACACUUAACCGUUUGGAAUGAAACGCAUGCGAUACUUUAAAAACAAGUGGCAAACUCGGGUGAGGCUAUGCCAUGGCAUGCUCGAGGGUGAGGUAAAAUCACAACACUUAGUAGGAUUUUCCAAAUACGGAUGUAGAAACCUCCUUUGGAGAUGGAUGGAAAAAUGAUUAGAUUGGAGUGAGAGGGACGAACAAGAGCGACAAAGGGCUGAAUCUCAUUGGAUUAUGGCAGCAAGGCUACUCUGCCACUUAUAAUACUUCAUCGCAUAUUUAAGUCGCCUGCAAAGGAUUCUACCCACCGCUUGAUGGAAAUUGUACUUUAAGGUGGCCACCGUGAUUCUUUCGCCAUAAUGGCUUAGCCAACAAGACGGUCCAUUAAAGGCCAAGGCCCCUACUGCGGGUUGGCAAGAGGACGGAGGGCGCAUACAUCACUUAUAGCUAGAUUCUGACUUAGAGUCAUUUAGUCAUAAUCCAGCAGAAGGUAGCUUCGCACCAUUGGAUUUUCAACCAUGCGUGAUGACCAAUAUGUGAAUCAAUGGUUCCUCUCAUACUACAUUGAAUUACUAUUAUGACACUAUCAUCAGUAGGGUAAAACUAACCUGUCUCAUGAUAGUCUAAACCCAGCUCAUGUUUCCUAUUGGUGGAUGAACUAUCCAACACUUGGUGAAUUCUGCUUCACAAUGAUAGGAAGAGCCGACAUCGAAGAAUUAAAAAGCAAUGUCGCUAUGAAUUCUUGGCUGCCACAAACCAGUUAUCCCUGUGCUAAAUUUUCUGACACCUCUAGCUUCGAAUUUCGAAGGUCUAAAGGAUCAUUUGGACACGCUUCAUGAUACAUAUUCGUACUAGAAAUCAGAAUCAAAUGAGAUUUUACCCUUCGGUUCCGCAUGAUAUUUCUAUUCUGUUGAGCUAUUUUAGGGCACAUUAUUUAUAUUUUAAUAGAUGUGCCACCCCAACCAAACUCCCCACCUAAUAAUAUCUUCCACCUGGGUCGGCCUGUAGAGCGAGCCUUCGGUCCAAAAAGUGAGGUAGUUCCCCGCUUCUGAUUCACGUAAUAAGUGCAAUAACGUUAAAAGUAGUGGUUUUUCACUUUCGCCUUUCAGCUCCAACUUAUACUACACCUCUCAAGCUAUUUCACAAAGUCGGAAUAGAGUCAACCUCAACAGGGUCUUCUUUCACUACUGAUUUGCCAAGCCUGUUCCCUUAGUUGUGGUUUCGCUGGUUAGUAGAAAAGGACAGUAGAAAUCUCGUUAGUCUAUUCAUGUGCAUCACUAAUUUGAUGACGAUGCAUUUGGCUACCUUAAGAGAGUCAUAGUUACUCCCGCCAUUUACCCGCACUUGGUUGAAUUUCUUCACAUUAACAUUCAAACCACUAGCAGAAAUCGUAUUGCGUGAACAUCCGUUAGGACCAUGCAAUGCUUUGUUUUAAUUAAACAGUCAGAUUCCCCUUGUCUGUACUAGUUCUGAGUUGGCGGCUCAAGCAGUCCACCAACAGCCGACGGGUUUGGAAUUAGGACCCUCGUGCCUAGCCCUCUGAGCCAAUCCUUUUCCCAAACUUAUGGAUCCUUUUUGCCGACUUACCUUGCCUACAUUGUUCCAUCAACCAUAGAUUGUUCACCUUGGAGACCUGAUGCAGUUAUGAGUAUGAUCGGUCAUGGAUGACAUUCGGUCCUUUGGAUUUUUAAGGGCCACUGGGAGUGUACCGAACACCACGCGACGUACAGUGCUCUUCCAGCCGUUGGACCCUACCUCUGGCUGAGCCGAUUCCAGGGUGGGCAGGCUGUUAAACAAAAAAAUAAUACUUUCCGAGGCUCCUGCCGACAUCUUCAGACUUCCUAACAUUGCCAUCAACCAUCACGUCCCAGUUCAGGAAUUUUAACCCGAUUCCCUUUUGGAGUAUGCGUGAAAUUUGUUAUAUAUCGGGGUUCCCCCGAACCUUAGGAAUGACUAACCCAUGUGCAAGUGUCAUUUACAUGGAACCUUUCCCAUCUUCGGCCUUCAAAGUUCUCAAUUGAAUAUUUUUUACUACCACUAAGAUCUACACCGAUGGCCGCGCAACCCCGUCUUGCACAUAAGGUUUUGCAGUAACCACCGUGCCCUCCUACUCAUCGAGUCCUGGCACUUGCCCUGAAGGCUGGGUGUAGGUCACACGUUUAAGCACCAUCAAUUUUUGGGGCUAGUUAAUUUGGGAGGUGAGUUGUUAUAAACUUCUUUGCGAAUUUUGACUUCCAUAACCACCGUCCUGCUGUCUUAAUCGACCAACACCCUUUGUGGGAUCUAGGUUAAUGUGCAGUUUGGAAUCGUAACCCAUCUUCUGGUUCAUCCCACAUCGGCAGUUCUGCUUACCAAAAAUAGCCCACUUAGAGCUCUUGAUUUCGUGGCGUGGCUCAACUAAGCAGCCAUGCUGUCUUACCUAUUUAAAGUUUAAGAAUCGGUCAAGGGCGUUGUUCCCCAAGGCCUUAAAUCAUUAGAUUUACUCAAUAGAAAUCGCACGUGAGCUCCAGCUAUCUUACGGAAAACUUCAGAGGGAACCAGCUACUAUACAGUUCGAUUAGUCUUUGGCCCUAAUACUCAAUUCAGACGAACAAAAAACACGUCAGUAUCACUACGGGCGUCAAAUUGAGUUUCCUCUGGCUUCACCCCGGUCAUGCAUACUUCACCAUCACUCAGGUCCCAACAGGUAUGCUUACACUCGAACCCUUCUCAGAAGAUCAAGGUCGGUCAUUAGUGCACCCCUCAAGGGGAUCCCACCAAUCAGCUUCCUUAAGCCUUACGGGUUUACUAGCCCGUUGACUUGCACACAUGUCAGACUCCUUGGUUCAUCUUUCAAGAUGGCUCGAAUGGGGAGCCCACAGGCCAGUUUCUAGAGUGCACAGAUACUGAAGCACACCAGAGGCUCGCGCUGCCUGCCACAAUUUAGGAGACGGUGUUCCACGAGCAUAUCGAGAGCUUGGGCUUUCUUCAUCCCACUAGUCUAUGCUGGUCAAAACCCCGAGUCGAUCGGUAAACCAGCCCGUUGCCAUUCUACAUCCUACUAGGGCACAUUAUCGGCCCCCAUCCACUUCCCUCUCAACAAUUUAAAGAACUAUUUGACUCUUUUUUCAAAGUCCUUUUCAUCUUUCCCUCGCAGAACUUGUUCACUAUCGGUCUCUUGCCCGUUUUUAGCCUUGGACUGAAUUCAUUACCCGAUUUGGGUUGUAUUCCCAAAAAACCACUCCUUGACACCAUCUCAUGGCACAAAGGGACUCUCACCCUCUCUGGCGCCACCUUCCAGGGGACUUAGGCACGGUCCGCUACUAAGGACGCUUCUCUAGACUAUAAUUCGAAUGAUAGAGCUGCCCGAUUCUAAGGUUGGACUAUUCUCGAUUCUCUCGCAUUACUAAGUGAAUCCUUGUAAGUUUCUAUUCCUUUUUUUAUUGCUAUUAUUAAACUAUACGGGUAAUCUCGCCUAACUUGGCAUCGCGGUUAGAGUUCCUAAGAGCGAUAGGGUCUUGGAGUUCGGAUGCAAAAUGGGCAGUAGCCAUGACAACAAAGAGAGUUGAGUGACAACACAACUUGUCAUAAUGUCCAUAGAUGUGGACUCGUAUUUAGGCUAAUCGCGAGUUCGAGGUGCACGAGAGGCCAGUAUCCGCCCCGUGACGAUAGUACACCCAGUGAUUGAGGCUCUAUGUAAGGGGGCGGUACGAUACAUGGCACCCUGGCAGACGUGCCCUCAGCCUAAUGGCUUUGGGCACCACUUGUGUUCAAAGACUCAAUGGUUUACGAGAUUCUGCAAUUCACACAAAGUAUCAUAUUUCACUAUGUUCUUCAUCAUUGCGAGAGCCGAGAUACACAUUGGCGAGUCUCAUUUUUAUUUCAAAAGAAGUGCAGGUCCCCCCAACGCACGUCGUAGAUGGGGCGCAAGAGGCAGGCUAUCAAUUUAAGUAUUCCUUGGCGCUUUCCAUGUCGGCGUUGGUUAGUCGUCCAACCCGCGCACUGGGCGUACAUGCCAUUGCCGAGGGGGAGGCGUACGUGCGAAGGAUGAAGCACCCCACCAACACAGACUCCUCAAUUAUUAAACACAUCCACGGGUUAUUCUGCUGCACAGGUUUCCACAAUGAUCCUUUUGUAGUUUAACCUACGAAAACCUUGUUACGACUUCUCCAUCCUCUAAAUGAUAAGGUUGAAUGGACUUCUCACGAUGUUGUAGGCAAUGAACCGCCAACGUCACCAUGAUCCAAAUAUCUCACUGGAUUAUUCAAUCGGUAGGAGCGACAAGCGAUAUGUUAAAAGGGCAGGGACGUAGUCAACACGAGUUGAUGAUUUGCACUUACUAGAAGUUCUUCGUUGAAGACCAACAAUUGUAAUGAUCUAUCCCCAUCACAAUAAAAUUUCAAAGAUUAACCGGGCUUAUCGGCCAAUGCUAUAAAAUCAUUGAAUACAUCAGUGUAGCACGUGUGCGGCCCAAAACAUCUAAGGUCAUCACAUGUGGCACCUUGGCAUACGUGCCCUUAGCUAAUGGCUUUGGGCGCAACUUGUGUUCAAAGACUCAAUGGUUUACGAGAUUCUGCAAUUCACACGAAGUAUCGUAUUUCGCUAUGUUCUUCAUAGAUGUGAGAGCCGAGAUACAUAUUGUCGAGUGUCAUUUUUGUUUUUAAAAGAAGCACAGGUCCCCCCAACGCACGUCACAGAUGGGGCGCAAGAGGCAGGCUAUCAAUUUAAGUAUUCCUUGGCGCUUUCCAUGUCGGGGUUCGUUAGUCGUCCAACCCGCGCACUGGGCGUACAUGCCAUGGAUGAGGGGGAGGCGCACGUGCGAAGGAUGAAGCACCCCACCCACACAGAAUCCUCAAUUAUUAAACACAUCCACGGGUUAUUCUGCUACAUAGGUUUUGACAAUGAUCCUUUUGUAGGUUAACCUACGGAAACCUUGUUACGACUUCUCCAUCCUCUAAAUGAUAAGGUUGAAUGGACUUCUCGCGAUGUUGUAGGCAACGAACCGGCUACGUCACCAUGAUCCAAAUAUCUCACUGGAUCAUUCAAUCGGUAGGAGUGACAGGCGAUAUGUUAAAAGGGCAGGGACGUAGUCAACACGAGUUGAUGAUUCGCAUUUACUAGGAGUUCUUCUUUGAAGACCAACAAUUGUAAUGAUCUAUCCCCAUCACAAUAAAAUUUCAAAGAUUAACCGGGCUUAUCGGCCAAUGCUAUAAAAUCAUUGAAUACAUCUGUGUAGCACGUGUGUAGCCCAAAACAUCUAAGGUUAUCACAUGUGGCACCUUGGCAGACGUGCCCUUAGCCUAAUGGCUUUGGGCGCAACUUGUGUUCGAAGACUCAAUGGUUUACGAGAUUCUGCAAUUCACACAAAGUAUCGUCUUUCGCUAUGUUCUUCAUCGAUGUGAGAGCCGAGAUACACAUUGUCGAGUGUCAUUUUUGCUUUUAAAUGAAGCUUAGGUCCCCCCAACGCACGUCACAGAUGGGGCGCAAGAGGCAGGCUAUCAAUUUAAGUAUUUCUUGGCGCUUUCCAUGUCGGGGUUCGUUAGUCGUCCAACCCGCGCACUGGGCGUACAUGCCAUGGACAAGGGGGAGGCGCACGUGCGAAGGAUGAAGCACCCCACCCACACAGACUCCUCAAUUAUUAAACACGUCCACGGGUUAUUCUGCUGCACAGGUUUCGACAAUGAUCCUUUUGUAGGUUAACCUACGAAAACCUUGUUACGACUUCUCCAUCCUCUAAAUGAUAAGGUUGAAUGGACUUCUCGCGAUGUUGUAGGCAACGAACCACCUACGUCACCAUGAUCCAAAUAUCUCACUGGAUCAUUCAAUCGGUAGGAGCGAGAGGCGAUAUGUUAAAAGGGCAGCGACGUAGUCAACACGAGUUGAUUAUUUGCACUUACUAGGAGUUCUUCGUUGAAGACCAAUAAUUGUAAUGAUCUAUCCCCAUCACAAUAAAAUUUCAAUGAUUAACCGGGCUUAUCGGCCAAUGCUAUAAAAUCAUUGAAUACAUCAGUGUAGCACGUGUGCGGCCCAAAACAUCUAAGGUCAUCACAUGUGGCACCUUGGCAGACGUGCCCUUAGCCUAAUGGCUUUGGGCGCAACUUGUGUUCAAAGACUCAAUGGUUUACGAGAUUCUGCAAUUCACACAAAGUAUCGUAUUUCGCUAUGUUCUUCAUCGAUGUGAGAGCCGAGAUACACAUUGUCGAGUGUCAUUUUUGUUUUUAAAAGAAGUAUAGGUCCCCCCAACGCACGUCACAGAUGGGGCGCAAGAGGCAGGCUAUCAAUUUAAGUAUUCCUUGGCGCUUUCCAUGUCGGGAUUCGUUGGUCGUCCAACCCGCGCACUGGGCGUACAUGCCAUGGACGAGGGGGAGGUGCACGUGCGAAGGAUGAAGCACCCCACCCACACAGACUCCUUAAUUAUUAAACACGUCCAUGGGUUAUUCUGCUGCACAGGUUUCAACAAUGAUCCUUUUGUAGGUUAACCUACGGAAACCUUAUUACGAAUUCUCCAUCCUCUAAAUGAUAAGGUUCAAUGGACUUCUCGCGAUGUUGUAGGCAACGAACUGCCUACGUCACCAUGAUCCAAAUAUCUCACUGGAUCAUUCAAUCGGUAGGAGCGACAGGCGAUAUGUUAAAAGGGCAGGGAUGUAGUCAACACGAGUUGAUGAUUCGCACUUACUAAGAGUUCUUCGUUGAAGACCAACAAUUGUAAUGAUCUAUCCCCAUCACAAUAAAAUUUCAAAGAUUAACCGGGCUUAUCGGCCAAUGCUAUAAAAUCAUUGAAUACAUCAGUGUAGCACAUGUGCGGCCCAAAAUAUCUAAGGUCAUAACAUGUGGCACCUUCGCAGACGUGCCCUUAGCCUAAUGGCUUUGGGCGCAACUUCUGUUCAAAGACUCAAUGGUUUACGAGAUUCUGCAAUUUACACGAAGUAUCGUAUUUUGCUAUGUUCUUCAUCAAUGUGAGAGCUGAGAUACACGUUGUCGAGUGUCAUUUUUGUUUUUAAAAGAAGCACAGGUCCUCCCGACGCACGCCACAGAUGGGGCGCAAGAGGCAAGCUAUCAAUUUAAGUAUUCCUUGGUGCUUUCCAUUUUGGGGUUAGUUAGUCGCCCAACGCAUGCACUGGGCGUAUACGCCAUGGAAUAGGGGGAGGCACACGUGCGAAGGAUGAAGAACCUCACCCGCACAGACUCCCUAGUUGUUAAACAUAUCCACGGUUCAUUCUGCUGCACAGGUUUCGACAAUAAUACUUUUGCAAGUUAACCUACAGAAUCCUUGUUAGGAUUUCUCCUUCCUCUAAAUGAUAAGGUUCAAUGGACUUCUCGCGAUGUCACAGGCAGCGAACCGCCCACGUCACCAUGAUCCAAACAUUUCACUGGAUCAUUCAAUCGGUAGGAGUGACAGGUGGUGUGUUAAAAGGGCAGGGACGUAGUCAACACGAGCUGAUGACUCGCGCUUACUACGAGUUCUUCAUUGAAGACUAACAAUUGUAAUGAUCUAUCCCCAUCACAAUGAAAUUUCAAAGAUAAACCGGGCCUAUCGGCCAAUGCUAUAAAAUCAUUGAAUACAUCAGUGUAGCACGCGUGCGGCCCAAAAAAUCUAAGGGCAUCAUAGACCUGUUAUUGCCUCAAACUUCCACGGCCUAAAAGGCCGUAGUCCUUCUAAGAAGCUGGAUGUAAAAGUUUACCUCCGCAUACCUAGUUAGCGGUCUGACUUCUCGUUCGUUAAUGGAAUUAACCAGAAAAAUUACUCCACCAAAUAAAAACGACCACACACCACCACCCAUAGAAUCUAGAAAGAGCUCUUAGUCUUUCGAUCCUUACUAUGUCUGGACCUGGUAAGUUUCCCCAUGUUGAUUCAAAUUAAGCAGCAGGAUCCACUCCUGGUGGUGACCUUCUAUCAAUUUCUUUAAGUUUUAGCCUUGAGACAAUACCCCCCCGAAACCUAAAUACUUUGAUUUCUCAUAAGAUGUCGGCGGAGUCCUAAAAGAAACAUCCACCGAUCCCUAGUCGGCAUCAUUUAUGGUUGAGACUAGUACGAUAUCUGAUUGUUUUUUAGCCACCAACUUUCAUUCUUUAUUAAUGAAAACAUCCUUGGAAAAUUCUUUUACAGCUGUUCAUCUUUCAUUAAUACAAGAAUUUCACCUCUGAUUAUGAAAUACGAAUGCCCUCGACUGUCCCAAUUAAUCAUUACCCCGAUCCCAAAGCCCAAUGUAAAUAGGACCAAAAUCCUAAAAUGUUAUCUCAUGCUAAUGUAUAUAGAACGUAGGCUUGCUUUGAGCACUCUAAUUUAUUCAAAGUAACAGCGUCACAAGCAUGACCCGAACAGUUAAGUCCCGGAGAGCAUCACCGACAGAAUGGAUGAGACAACCGGUGCACACCAUAAACAGACUGGCUAGCCCAUCCCAAAGUCCAACUGUGAGCUUUUUAAUAGCAACAACUUAAAUAUACACUAUAGGAGAUAGAAAUACCACGGUUAUUGGCACCAGAAUUGCCCUCCAAUGUAUUCUAGGUAAGGGAUUUAGAUUGUACUCAUUCCAAUUACCAGACUCAUUGAGCCCGGUAUUCUAUUUUAUUAUCACUACCUUUCUGUGUCAGGAUUAGGUAAUUUAAGUGCCUGCUACCUUCCUUGGAUGUGGUAACCUUUUCUUAGGAUCCCUCUCCAGAAUCAAACCCUAAUUCUCCAUCAUCGGUCAUCACCAUGGUAGGCCACUGUCCUACCAUCGAAAAUUAUUAGGGAAGAAAUUUGAAUGAUGUGUCCGUGGUAUUAUGAUCGUUCGUUCUGUCAAGUUAUCAUGAAUCAUUAUAGCAACGGGUAGAGCCAACGUCAAUCUUUUAUCUAAUAAAUACAUCCAUUCUAGAAUUUUAGGUUUGUUGCAUGUAUUAGCUCUAGAAUUACUACGGUUAUCCGAGUAGUAGAUACCAUCAAACAAACUAUAACUAAUUUAAUGAGCCAUUCGCAGUUUCACAGUCUGAAUUUGUUCAUACUUACACAUGCAUGGCUUAAUAUUUGAGAAUAGCAUAGGACUACUU
rnacentral:lncRNA from 1 species